rnacentral:tRNA from 1 species
ACUAAUAUAAUUUAAUAAUAUCAAACUGCAAGUUUGAAUAUCCUCUAUUUAAA